AGUGAACGCUGGCGGUAGGCCUAACACAUGCAAGUCGAACGGCAGCACAGUAAGAGCUUGCUCUUACGGGUGGCGAGUGGCGGACGGGUGAGGAAUACAUCGGAAUCUACUUUUUCGUGGGGGAUAACGUAGGGAAACUUACGCUAAUACCGCAUACGACCUACGGGUGAAAGCAGUGGAUCUUCUGACCUUGCGCGAUUGAAUGAGCCGAUGUCGGAUUAGCUAGUUGGCGGGGUAAAGGCCCACCAAGGCGACGAUCCGUAGCUGGUCUGAGAGGAUGAUCAGCCACACUGGAACUGAGACACGGUCCAGGCUCCUACGAGAGGCAGCAGUGGGGAAUAUUGGACAAUAGGCGCAAGCCUUAUCCAGCCAUACCGCGUGUGUGAAGAAGGCCUUCGGGUUGUAAAGCCCUUUUGUUGGGAAAGAAAAGCAGCAGGUUAAUACCCCGCUGUUCUGACGGUACCCAAAGAAUAAGCACCGGCUAACUUCGUG
rnacentral:rRNA from 1 species